GUGCUUUGAGACACAGAGAGAGACAACGACAACUGUUUUUUUCAACUCGGAGCUGCUGCACAAAACAGCAGAUGAACAGCUCGCAGCAUCAAACACUAAAAGUGGGCAAAGUGGGAAGUGAACACUUAACAGUAU